rnacentral:tRNA from 1 species
AUUCAUAUAAUAUAAUAAUUAUAUUUAACUUCCAAUUAAAAAAUCUAAUAAAAUUUAGUAUGAAUA